GAGGAAGAAGAGGACUGGCCCCUCGCGAGGGCCGAAAAUAACCCAGGCAAUACGUAUUUCACCACUUUUCCUUGAAGCUAGAAUGAAGAGAAGAUCCACAGCCUAUAAGAAGGCGGUGUAGAGUGCAGGACCGGCCAGGGAAAGGAAGGAAAACGGCAAAGCAGCCUUCAAAUGACGAGUGCCUCCACCACCACCACCACCACCACACCUGUUGUUGCCCCACCCCACAAUAAGCGCUGCGACACACGACGACGCCCGCCGCACCAGACAGAGAGGGGCAUGGGCUCUGCGGAGGACCCGGCAGCCUCAAACUCUGUGCCGGACCAGAUAGCUCUGCUGAGGGAGGACUCUCGGGCCGGCUGCAGCGGUGGACCACCACAGCUGUGAGGAAUACCCUCUAGAUUCGACCAAGUAAACCAAGUAAGAUUCUGUUAUGAAGACGGGCAUGGGCCAGCCAUCAUAUCAGGGGGCAAGAGCUCAGCUGAUCGCUUUUGCCUUCCAAAAUGGCUGACAGUUGUUUUUCCUAAAACAAAAGCGAAGCAGUGUGACGUCAGUGCAACCCCUCUAUAGUACAGAGAAAGCCAAUCCAGUUACAAUAGAGAUCAGUGGGUUACAUGUUACCAGUAGCAGAGCACUACCUUA